AAAAAGAUGUAAAAUUGGUUGAUGUUUUCGCCACGACGAUUCGAAAUGAAACGAAGACAUGAGAAGAAGCGAAGGUCCUCGUAGAGGUGAAUGAGGAUUUUACCACUAUGGACAUUUGAACAGUAUGCAGAAGAAGACGGAUCUGGAACUAGAAAGCAAGGCUCUGACUGGUCUACUACAGCAAGGAAUGUGCCAGCGGCCAAUCUGAUGAACAUGUGACAGAAGAUUUGGCAAUGGGUGAAGAAAUACUGAGAUUGAAAUGCAACCACAGGUGGAGGCUUCAACCAAACUUUUCAGACAGACAUGAGAUACAAAGUUACACAAGUAUAAAUGGUUGAAGGUUUAGGAGAGCCAGACAAGAAGGCAGGAAAUGUGAUGUCACUUUUACUUCAAUGAACAUGGACAGCAGCAGGAGCAACAACAGCAUCAGCAGCUGAAACUACAACUGCAGUAAUAGAUGCAACAACCACACCGACAACAUCAACAGCAGCAGGAGCUCCAACAACCAUGCAGAGAACAUCGGGCGCAACAUAAAUAACUUCAUCAAGAGAUGCAACAACCACAGUGGUAAACAUCAACAGCAGUAGCAACAACGACAGUAGAAACAAAGCCAACAGCAAGGAUUCUAACAAGCAAUCAUACAAGCAACAACACAAGCGACAACAUCAAUAGAUGCAUCAGGAGAUGCAACAGCCACACUCGUAAACAGCAGCAGUAGCAGCGAUGACAACAGCAACCACACAGGCAACACCUUGAGCAACAUCAGUAGCAAAAAUAACUAAUUGCACCAGGAGAUGCAACAACCACACCCACAACACCAAGAGCAGCAAAAACAAACAGCAAUUCCAGCAAUCACGAUGACAACAGCAGCAGCAACACCAACAACACUAAUGAACAUUGAAAAAACUUGUACAAAAGUCAAUGAGGUCGCAUUUUUCAGACAUUAUCAGACAUUAUUGAUUAAAAAAUGCACAAUGAUUUAUUUGGGUUAAAGAAAAUUAUGUUUGAAAAAAUGUGUACAUUUGAAGAUGUUUCCUAUGUAUUGAUUGAUAUAAUAUAGUUUUAAAGAUGAAAAUAUUA